GUCAGCAUGCCUGAGUUUUUCCCAGCUCUGGAAAAGAUCACUCCAGUCCCUGCCUGGGACGUGCUGCAGCCCGGGUUGGUAUCUAAGGGCACAGGAAGACGACAGAGCAGCAGCAGCAGCAAUCAAAGGCCCUGCAGUUUGUUGCAAGAUGUUCCUGCUGCUCUUGCUGCGCCUGCCGACACCAGCCCCUGCAGGGGAGAUGCCAGGCUGCAGAAUAAUGUCCGUGUUUCACUCCGGAUCGUCCCAUGCUCUUGGGGGACGGGAAAGGGAAACGACUGCAGUAGCAGCGGCUCAGGAGCCAGUGACCUUCGAGGAGGUGGCUGUGUAUUUCACCGAGGAGG